rnacentral:rRNA from 1 species
GACGAACGCUGGCGGCGUGCUUAACACAUGCAAGUCGAACGCUGAAGCUUGGUGCUUGCACUGGGUGGAUGAGUGGCGAACGGGUGAGUAAUACGUGAGUAACCUGCCCUUGACUCUGGGAUAAGCCUGGGAAACUGGGUCUAAUACUGGAUAUGACAUGCCACUGCAUGGUGGUGUGUGGAAAGGGUUUUACUGGUUUUGGAUGGGCUCACGGCCUAUCAGCUUGUUGGUGGGGUAAUGGCCUACCAAGGCGAUGACGGGUAGCCGGCCUGAGAGGGUGACCGGCCACACUGGGACUGAGACACGGCCCAGACUCCUACGGGAGGCAGCAGUGGGGAAUAUUGCACAAUGGGCGGAAGCCUGAUGCAGCGACGCCGCGUGAGGGAUGACGGCCUUCGGGUUGUAAACCUCUUUCAGCACGGAAGAAGCGAGAGUGACGGUACGUGCAGAAGAAGCGCCGGCUAACUACGUG